rnacentral:rRNA from 1 species
UACGUAGGAGGCGAGCGUUGUCCGGAGUUACUGGGCGUAAAGGGUGCGCAGGCGGCGGUUCGCGUGGAUAGAUGAAAUCUCCUGGCUUACCUGGGAGGAUGGUAUCCAGACGGGAUCGCUUGAGGGUCGGAGAGGGGCGUGGAAUUCCGGGUGGAGCGGUGAAAUGCGUAGAGAUCCGGAGGAACACCGACGGCGAAGGCGGCCUGCUGGGCAGUUGCUGACACUGAGGCGCGACAGCGUGGGGAGCAAACAGG